rnacentral:pre_miRNA from 1 species
GCCACCACUUGAGGAACGUCGCGGAGUCAGACCACGCGUUGGCCUGCGAGAAGUGCUUCAGAGGUGGA